AUUGAACGCUGGCGGCAGGCUUAACACAUGCAAGUCGAGCGGAGAUGAGGUGCUUGCACCUUAUCUUAGCGGCGGACGGGUGAGUAAUGCUUAGGAAUCUGCCUAUUAGUGGGGGACAACAUUCCGAAAGGAAUGCUAAUACCGCAUACGUCCUACGGGAGAAAGCAGGGGAUCUUCGGACCUUGCGCUAAUAGAUGAGCCUAAGUCGGAUUAGCUAGUUGGUGGGGUAAAGGCCUACCAAGGCGACGAUCUGUAGCGGGUCUGAGAGGAUGAUCCGCCACACUGGGACUGAGACACGGCCCCGACUCCUACGGGAGGCAGCAGUGGGGAAUAUUGGACAAUGGGGGGAACCCUGAUCCAGCCAUGCCGCGUGUGUGAAGAAGGCCUUAUGGUUGUAAAGCACUUUAAGCGAGGAGGAGGCUACUGAGACUAAUACUCUUGGAUAGUGGACGUUACCCGCAGAAUAAGCACCGGCUAACUCUGUGCCAGCCGCCGCGGUAAAAC
rnacentral:rRNA from 1 species